UACAGAGGGGGCAAGCGUUGUUCGGAAUUACUGGGCGUAAAGGGCGCGUAGGCGGCCGCCUAAGUCAGACGUGAAAUCCCUCGGCUUAACCGGGGAACUGCGUCUGAUACUGGAUGGCUAGAGUUUGGGAGAGGGAUGCGGAAUUCCAGGUGUAGCGGUGAAAUGCGUAGAUAUCUGGAGGAACACCGGUGGCGAAGGCGGCAUCCUGGACCAACACUGACGCUGAGGAGCGAAAGCCAGGGGAGCAAACGGG
rnacentral:rRNA from 1 species